rnacentral:rRNA from 1 species
CCAAUAGCGUAUAUUAAAGUUGUUGCAGUUAAAAAGCUCGUAGUUGGAUUUCGGGAUCAAUAUGUCGGUCGUGCCUCGGUACGUACUGGCGUCGUUGGUUUCUCCCUUCUGAAGAACCUCGAUGUCAUUAAUUUGGUGUCGUGGGGAAUCAGGACUGUUACUUUGAAAAAAUUAGAGUGUUUAAAGCAGGCUCACGCUUGAAUACAUUAGCAUGGAAUAAUGAAAUAGGACGUUUGAUUCUAUUUUGUUGGUUUCUAGGAUCGACGUAAUGAUUAAUAGGGAUAGUUGGGGGCAUUAGUAUUCAAUUGUCAGAGGUGAAAUUCUUGGAUUUAUUGAAGACUAACUACUGCGAAAGCAUUUGCCAAGGAUGUUUUCAUUAAUCAAGAACGAAAGUUAGGGGAUCGAAGACGAUCAGAUACCGUCGUAGUCUUAACCAUAGACUAUGCCGACUAGGGAUCGGAUGAUGUUAAUUUUUUAAUGACUCAUUCGGCGCCUUACG